AGCCAAGCCUAAAGUGUCCUUCAGUGGUCAUCAGCUGGGACGACGUGACUGCUGAAAGUCACUUUAGGCUUGUUC
rnacentral:pre_miRNA from 1 species